rnacentral:rRNA from 1 species
CAGGCCUACACAUGCAAGUCGAACGGUAGACAGUCUCUUCGGAGAGCUGACGAGUGGCGCACGGGUGCGUAACGCGUAUGCAACCUACCUCAAACUGGGGGAUAGCCCGAAGAAAUUCGGAUUAAUACCCCAUGGUAUUGUUGAAUCGAUUGGUUUAGCAAUUAAAGAUUUAUCGGUUUGAGAUGGGCAUGCGUCCCAUUAGCUAGUUGGUGAGGUAACGGCUCACCAAGGCGACGAUGGGUAGGGGGCCUGAGAGGGUGGUCCCCCACACUGGUACUGAGACACGGACCAGACUCCUACGGGAGGCAGCAGUGAGGAAUAUUGGUCAAUGGACGCAAGUCUGAACCAGCCAUGCCGCGUGCAGGAUGACGGCCCUACGGGUUGUAAACUGCUUUUAUACGGGAAUAAUGUGUCCUACGUGUAGGAUUUUGAAGGUACCGUAAGAAUAAGGAUCGGCUAACUCCGUGCCAUCAACCGCGGUAAUACGGAGGAUCCAAGCGUUAUCCGGAUUCAUUGGGUUUAAAGGGUCCGU